rnacentral:rRNA from 1 species
GAUGAACGCUGGCGGCGUGCUUAACACAUGCAAGUCGAACGGUGAAGCAGGAGCUUGCUCUUGUGGAUCAGUGGCGAACGGGUGUGUAACACGUGAGCAACCUGCCCCUGACUCUGGGAUAAGCGCUGGAAACGGCGUCUAAUACUGGAUAUGUGAUGUGACCGCAUGGUCUGCAUCUGGAAAGAAUUUCGGUUGGGGAUGGGCUCGCGGCCUAUCAGCUUGUUGGUGAGGUAAUGGCUCACCAAGGCGUCGACGGGUAGCCGGCCUGAGAGGGUGACCGGCCACACUGGGACUGAGACACGGCCCAGACUCCUACGGGAGGCAGCAGUGGGGAAUAUUGCACAAUGGGCGGAAGCCUGAUGCAGCAACGCCGCGUGAGGGAUGACGGCCUCCGGGUUGUGAACCUCUUUUAGCAGGGAAGAAGCGAAAGUGACGGUACCUGCAGAAAAAGCACCGGCUAACUACGUGCCAGCCGCCGCCGUAA